GACGAACGCUGGCGGCGUGCCUAAUACAUGCAAGUAGAACGCUGAAGCUUGGUGCUUGCACCGAGCGGAUGAGUUGCGAACGGGUGAGUAACGCGUAGGUAACCUGCCUGGUAGCGGGGGAUAACUAUUGGAAACGAUAGCUAAUACCGCAUAAGAGUAGAUGUUGCAUGACAUUUGCUUAAAAGGUGCAAUUGCAUCACUACCAGAUGGACCCGCGUUGUAUUAGCUAGUUGGUGAGGUAACGGCUCACCAAGGCAACGAUACAUAGCCGACCUGAGAGGGUGAUCGGCCACACUGGGACUGAGACACGGCCCAGACUCCUACGGGAGGCAGCAGUAGGGAAUCUUCGGCAAUGGACGGAAGUCUGACCGAGCAACGCCGCGUGAGUGAAGAAGGUUCUCGGAUCGUAAAGCUCUGUUGUAAGAGAAGAACGAGUGUGAGAGUGGAAAGUUCACACUGUGACGGUAUCUUACCAGAAAGGGACGGCUAACUACGUG
rnacentral:rRNA from 1 species